rnacentral:rRNA from 1 species
AGCGAACGCUGGCGGCAGGCCUAACACAUGCAAGUCGAACGAACUCUUCGGAGUUAGUGGCGGACGGGUGAGUAACACGUGGGAACGUGCCUUUUGGUUCGGAAUAACUCAGGGAAACUUGUGCUAAUACCGAAUGUGCCCUUCGGGGGAAAGAUUUAUCGCCAUUAGAGCGGCCCGCGUCUGAUUAGCUAGUUGGUGAGGUAACGGCUCACCAAGGCGACGAUCAGUAGCUGGUCUGAGAGGAUGACCAGCCACACUGGGACUGAGACACGGCCCAGAAUCCUACGGGAGGCAGCAGUGGGGAAUCUUGCGCAAUGGGGGAAGGCCUGACGCAGCCAUGCCGCGUGAAUGAUGAAGGUCUUAGGAUUGUAAAGUUCUUUAACCGGGGACGAUAAUGACGGUACCCGGAGAAGAAGCCCCGGCUAACUUCGUG